ACUCAAAUGAAUUGACGGGGGCCCGCACAAGCGGUGGAGCAUGUGGUUUAAUUCGACGCUACGCGAAGAACCUUACCUGGGCUCGAACGACUGGUAGUAGUCCGGAAGAAAUUCUGGGCGACCCGCAAGGGAGCCAGCCGAGGUGCUGCAUGGUUGUCGUCAGCUCGUGUCGUGAGAUGUUGGGUUAAGUCCCGCAACGAGCGCAACCCCUGUCCUGUGUUGCUACUCCGCAAGGAGAGGACUCUCAGGAGACUGCCACGGAUAACGUGGAGGAAGGCGGGGAUGACGUCAAAUCAUCAUGGCCUUUAUGUCCAGGGCCACACACGUGCUACAAUGGCGUAUACAACGGGAUGCGAAACAGCAAUGUCAAGCAAAUCCCUUAAAGUACGCCCCAGUUCAGAUUGAGGGCUGCAAUUCGCCCUCAUGAAGGCGGAAUCGCUAGUAAUCGCAGAUCAGCAGGCUGCGGUGAAUACGUUCCCGGGCCUUGUACACACCGCCCGU
rnacentral:rRNA from 1 species